AACGAACGCUGGCGGCAUGCCUAACACAUGCAAGUCGAACGAAGCCUUCGGGCUUAGUCGCGCACGGGUGCGUAACGCGUGGGAAUCUGCCCUAGGGUUCGGAAUAACAGUUAGAAAUGACUGCUAAUACCGGAUGGUGUCUUCGGACCAAAGAUUUAUCGCACAAGGAUGACCCCGCGUAGGAUUAGGUAGGUGGUGGGGUAAUGGCCCACCAAGCGGACGAUCCUUAGCUGGUCCGAGAGGAUGAUCAGCCACACUGGGACUGAGACACGGCCCAGACUCCUACGGGAGGCAGCAGUGGGGAAUAUUGGACAAUGGGCGAAAGCCUGAUCCAGCAAUGCCGCGUGAGUGAUGAAGGCCUUAGGGUUGUAAAGCUCUUUUACCAGGGAUGAUAAUGACAGUACCUGGAGAAUAAGCUCCGGCUAACUCCGUGCCAGCCGCCGCGGUAACAC
rnacentral:rRNA from 1 species